rnacentral:lncRNA from 1 species
CACGCACGUACACACACGCCCUGGCUCCCCACGGCAGCGGAACCACUCUGCGCGCCCGGCCACAGUGUCGCUGCCUCUCCCCGUGGUGGCACAUCAGCGCGUUACAUAUAUCACGUGACUUGCAACAGCGAUCAAUCACAGAAUCAAAAAAAGAAAGAAAAAAAGAGAAAAGAAAAAACAAACAAUCAAACAAACAAACCACUCCAGAGAGCAAAGAUAAUCAAAAGAGAGA